GCCCCCGUAGCUCAGCAGGAUAGAGCAACCGCCUCCUAAGCGGUAGGUCACAGGUUCGACUCCUGUCGGGGGCGCCA
rnacentral:tRNA from 1 species